GACGAACCGUGCGAACGUUAUUCGGAAUCACUGGGCUUAAAGGGUGCGUAGGCGGGCUGUCAAGUCUGGGGUGAAAUCCCGCGGCUCAACCGUGGAACUGCCUCAGAUACUGAUGGCCUCGAGGAAGGUAGGGGCAUGCGGAACUGUAGGUGGAGCGGUGAAAUGCGUUGAUAUCUACAGGAACUCCGGUGGCGAAAGCGGCGUGCUGGACCUUUUCUGACGCUGAGGCACGAAAGCUAGGGGAGCAAACGGGAGUU
rnacentral:rRNA from 1 species